UCGAACGGUGAAGCCCAGCUUGCUGGGUGGAUCAGUGGCGAACGGGUGAGUAACACGUGAGUAACCUGCCCCUGACUCUGGGAUAAGCCUUGGAAACGAGGUCUAAUACCGGAUACGUGACGCUCAGGCAUCUGAUGCGUCUGGAAAGAUUUAUCGGUCAGGGAUGGACUCGCGGCCUAUCAGCUUGUUGGUGGGGUAACGGCCUACCAAGGCGACGACGGGUAGCCGGCCUGAGAGGGCGACCGGCCACACUGGGACUGAGACACGGCCCAGACUCCUACGGGAGGCAGCAGUGGGGAAUAUUGCACAAUGGGCGCAAGCCUGAUGCAGCGACGCCGCGUGAGGGAUGAAGGCCUUCGGGUUGUAAACCUCUUUCAGCAGGGAAGAAGCGCAAGUGACGGUACCUGCAGAAGAAGCGCCGGCUAACUACGUGCCAGCAGCCGCGGUAAUACGUAGGGCGCAAGCGUUGUCCGGAAUUAUUGGGCGUAAAGAGCUCGUAGGCGGUUUGUCGCGUCUGCUGUGAAAACUCGAGGCUCAACCUCGGGCUUGCAGUGGGUACGGGCAGACUAGAGUGCGGUAGGGGAGACUGGAAUUCCUGGUGUAGCGGUGGAAUGCGCAGAUAUCAGGAGGAACACCGAUGGCGAAGGCAGGUCUCUGGGCCGCAACUGACGCUGAGGAGCGAAAGCAUGGGGAGCGAACAGGAUUAGAUACCCUGGUAGUCCAUGCCGUAAACGUUGGGCACUAGGUGUGGGGCUCAUUCCACGAGUUCCGUGCCGCAGCAAACGCAUUAAGUGCCCCGCCUGGGGAGUACGGCCGCAAGGCUAAAACUCAAAGAAAUUGACGGGGGCCCGCACAAGCGGCGGAGCAUGCGGAUUAAUU
rnacentral:rRNA from 1 species